CCUCUUCUUCACCUGCAACACAGAGAGGAUAGGGUUAGGUUAGCACAAAAAAGGGGAAGACUGCUGCCGCUGUGAAAAUAGUGAAGUGCAGGGAGUAUUUUGAUUCUUAACGAUAAAGAGAAGGAGGGAAAUCGAUAGUUGUGAGCGGAGGAGGCGCACGGUAUCAUAGGAGUGUUGUAGAUUUAUGGGGAAGAAGAGAAUGGUCGUGUGAGGAGAGAGAUAAAGAGAGAGAGAGAGAGGUCAUUGGGUAGUGAGAGAGAAGAAUGGUCGCAAUCUAAGAAAAUAAGAAGAAAAAAAGAGAAAAAAAAGAAGAAGAGCUUAACGGCGUGACGAAUGGGAAAAGUGAGGGAAGGUGACCCGAACGGAUGACUACUGUGUGAGGGCAGUUAGUCCAGUGGUGAAGGAGCUGCAAAUGAGGCAAACCAAAACCGCACUUCUUCAGGUUAAGAAAGGUUUAAAUCAAGUUCAAGACCGAAUAGGAGACUUUGAAGAAAUCUCAUAGUUUAGUCAUUUUGGAUUGUAAAAAUAGAAUAGAAACAAAAUAAUGAUUGUUAAGAGAUUGUAUAGAACUUUAUGUAUUGUAAUUUUUUACGAGGGAUGAAAUGGUUUUGAAUUUUUAUCAGGUUGCUA